rnacentral:tRNA from 1 species
UCCCUAGUGGCUCAGAGGUUAAAGCGUCUGCCUGCAAGGCGGGAGACCCAGGUUCAACCCCUGGGUCGGGAA